AUGAUAAACAUUAUGAAUAAAUAUUUUUUCUCAAAAUACUGUAAUACAAAAGUAAAUUUAUUUCAAAAAUAUUUUUUUAAAAAGAAGAAACUUAUGCGAAGAAGAAGUUACAACUCCAUUUUUUGCAACAUAUGCAAUGUUAUUUUUUUUUCGUUAAAUUCUUAUUUCAUAAAGAAAUACAUACUUUCAAAAAACGUUAAUAUAUUUUAUUUAGAAGAUAAAACAAAUGCUUAUUUGGAAAAAAAAUAUAAGACUAAGACUCCGUAUAUAAAAACAGAAAGUGGUAUACUCUAUAAGGACCUAAUAGAUGGAGAAGGAGACCCAAUAGAAGAAGGUGAUAUCGUAUAUAUCCAUUACCAAGGAAAAACAACAAAUGAUUUUCGAAUUAUCCAAUCAACAUUCAAAAGUAUUAUUCCACCUAAAAUUAAAGCUGGGUGUUAUGAUAGAAUGCAUAUACCAGCUAUUUACGAAAUGGUUAUUAAUAUGAAAAAACAUACGAGGAGACAAUGUAUUAUUCCUCCACAUAUGGGUUUACCCAAUCAUUUCCCUAAUCAACCCCUUCUUUACGAAAUAGACGUUGUCAGAAUAGUAAAAAAGAACGCACCACAAAAAACACUUUUGGAAAAAAUCAAAGCGCAAAUUGAAUAUUUGAAAAAUAUUAUUUUUACUUUCUUUUAAUUUAUUAUAUACGUCAAUGUAAAAAAUAUAUAUAUAUAUAUAUAUCUAUUAAGCAUCAUUUAUGUAUCUUUUGGUAUCAUUUGUUUUUAAUUUUUUUUUUUUUUUUUUUUUUAUCACUAAAACAAUUACUUUAUACUGAGCACUUUCUUUCUUGUUUGUCUGCCUAUUUACCAUUUAGACUAUUAUUUCAACUUUUAUCAUUCAUCUUCCACCAAUUCAUUCAUUAUACUUGAUGCAAUGUGGUUUAACUUUUUUUUCUCUUCUACUUUUUUUACACAAUCACCAUUUACAACACCAUUUACAACGCCAUUUUCAACACCAUUUACAACACCAUUUUCAACACCAUUUUCAACACCAUUUUCAACACCAUUUUCAACACCAUUUAAUGUUUUUAUGCACAAAUUGUUAAAAUUAACAUUUAUAUGCGUUAGCCAAUUAUUAACAAUAUGAACAUUUUUUUCAUUUUCUAUUAAUAUAGCGUAACCGUUUUUAUUUCUUCUUCCUACUCUUCCACAUAAAUGAAUAUAUUCAUUUAUAUUGGCAGGUUUAUUACAUAAAAUUACAAUAUCCAAAUCGUUUAUAUGAAACCCACGAAUGUUAUCAAAUGAACUAAUAACAAUAGGGUAUUUAUUUAAAUACAUAUUUUUAUUUUGUAUUUCUUUUUUUUUAUUCAUUGUCAUUGUCAUAGUUACAGUUUCAUUUAAAAUUUUUAAUUUUUCAUAAUUUUUACACAUAUUAAAUAAUUGUUUAUUAUUAUCAUUCAACGAUAUUUCUAAUUGUUCAUGUAAUAAUAAAGAAAAUAUAUUAUUUUUAUGUAAAUAUUGU
rnacentral:lncRNA from 1 species